rnacentral:rRNA from 1 species
AUACGUAGGUGGCAAGCGUUGUCCGGAUUUACUGGGCGUAAAGGAUGCGUAGGCGGAUAUUUAAGUGAGAUGUGAAAAUCCCGGGCUUAACUUGGGAACUGCAUUUCAAACUGGGUAUCUAGAGUGCAGGAGAGGAAAGCGGAAUUCCUAGUGUAGCGGUGAAAUGCGUAGAGAUUAGGAAGAACACCAGUGGCGAAGGCGGCUUUCUGGACUGUAGCUGACGCUGAGGCAUGAAAGCGUGGGGAGCAAACAGGAUUAGAGACCCUGGUAGUCCACGCCGUAAACGAUGAAUAUUAGGUGUGGGGGUUGUCAUGACUUCCGUGCCGCAGUUAACACAAUAAGUAUUCCGCCUGGGGAGUACGGUCGCAAGAUUAAA